GAAUUCGUGGUGUAGCGGUGAAAUGCUUAGAUAUCACGAAGAACUCCGAUUGCGAAGGCAGCCAACAAGGCCUUUACUGACGCUAAAGCUCGAAGGUGCGGGUAUCGAACAGGAUUAGAUACCCUGGUAGUCCGCACGGUAAACGAUGGAUGCCCGCUGUUUGCGAUAUACUGUGAGCGGCCAAGAGAAAUCGUUAAGCAUCCCACCUGGGGAGUACGCCGGCAACGGUGAAACUCAAAGGAAUUGACGGGGGCCCGCACAAGCGGAGGAACAUGUGGUUUAAUUCGAUGAUACGCGAGGAACCUUACCCGGGCUUGAACUGCCAGCGAACGAUUCAGAGAUGAUGAGGUCCUUCGGGACGCUGGUGGAGGUGCUGCAUGGUUGUCGUCAGCUCGUGCCGUGAGGUGUCGGCUUAAGUGCCAUAACGAGCGCAACCCUUUUCUUUAGUUGCCAUCAGGUAAUGCUGGGCACUCUGGAGAUACUGCCACCGUAAGGUGUGAGGAAGGUGGGGAUGACGUCAAAUCAGCACGGCCCUUACGUCCGGGGCUACACACGUGUUACAAUGGGGGGUACAGAGAGUCGGAUAUACGCAAGUAUGUUCUAAUCCUUAAAGCCUUCCUCAGUUCGGAUUGGGGUCUGCAACCCGACCCCAUGAAGCUGGAUUCGCUAGUAAUCGCGCAUCAGCCAUGGCGCGGUGAAUACGUUCCCGGGCCUUGUACACACCGCCCGUCACACCAUGGGAGUGGG
rnacentral:rRNA from 1 species